UGGGGAAUAUUGCACAAUGGGGGAAACCCUGAUGCAGCGACGCCGCGUGAACGAAGAAGGUAUUCGUAUCGUAAAGUUCUGUCCUAUGGGAAGAUAAUGACAGUACCAUAGAAGAAAGCUCCGGCUAAAUACGUGCCAGCAGCCGCGGUAAUACGUAUGGAGCGAGCGUUGUCCGGAAUUAUUGGGCGUAAAGGGUACGCAGGCGGUUUAAUAAGUCGAAUGUUAAAGAUCGGGGCUCAACCCCGCAAAGCAUUGGAAACUGAUAAACUUGAGUAGUGGAGAGGAAAGUGGAAUUCCUAGUGUAGUGGUGAAAUACGUAGAUAUUAGGAGGAAUACCAGUAGCGAAGGCGACUUUCUGGACACAAACUGACGCUGAGGUACGAAAGCGUGGGGAGCAAACA
rnacentral:rRNA from 1 species